UACGAAGGGGGCUAGCGUUGUUCGGAAUUACUGGGCGUAAAGCGCACGUAGGCGGAUUGUUAAGUUAGGGGUGAAAUCCCAGGGCUCAACCACAGAAUUGCCUUUGAUACUGAAGAUCUUGAGUCCGGGAGAGGUGAGUGGAACUGCGAGUGUAGAGGUGAAAUUCGUAGAUAUUCGCAAGAACACCAGUGGCGAAGGCGGCUCACUGGCCCGGUACUGACGCUGAGGCACGAAAAGCGUGGGGGAGCAAACAGG
rnacentral:rRNA from 1 species